rnacentral:rRNA from 1 species
CCUACGGGUGGCAGCAGUAGGGAAUAUUGCUCAAUGGGGGAAACCCUGAAGCAGCAACGCCGCGUGGAGGAUGAAGGUUUUCGGAUUGUUAACCCUCUUUGUUAGAGAAGAUAAUGACGGUAUCUAACGAAUAAGCACCGGCUAACUCCGUGCCAGCAGCCGCGGUAAUACGGAGGGUGCAAGCGUUACUCGGAAUCACUGGGCGUAAAGAGCGCGUAGGCGGGAUAGCAAGUCAGAUGUGAAAUCCUAGGGCUUAACCAUAGAACUGCAGUUGAAACUGUUAUUCUAGAGUAUGGGAGAGGUAGGUGGAAUUCUUGGUGUAGCGGUAAAAUCCGUAGAGAUCAAGAGGAAUACUCAUUGCGAAGGCGACCUGCUAGAACAUAACUGACGCUGAUGCGCGAAAGCGUGGGGAGCAAACAGGAUUAGAUACCCGGGUAGUC